rnacentral:tRNA from 1 species
GGGCGUUUAGCUCAGUUGGUUAGAGUGCCUGGAUCACACCCAGGAGGUCGGGGGUUCGAGUCCCUCAACGCCCACCA